rnacentral:rRNA from 1 species
AACGAACGCGCGCGGCAUGCCUAACACAUGUGACUCGAACGACACCUUCGGGUCUAGUGGCUCACGGGUGCGUAACGCGUGGGAACCUGCCCUUAGGUUCUGAAUAACUCCCCGAAAGGGGUUCUAAUACCGGGUGAUGGCUUCAGACCAAAGAGUUAUCGCCUUUGGAUGGGCCCGCGUUGGAUUAGCUACUUGGUAGUGUAAAAGCCUACCAAGGCUACGAUCCAUAGCUGGUCUGAGAGGAUUAUCAGCCACAAUGGGACUGAGACACGGCCCAGACCCCUGAGGGAGGCAGCAGUGGGCACUACUAGACAAUGCGAGACAGCCUGAUCCAGCCAUGCCGCGUGCGUGCUGAAGGCCUUAGGGUCGUAAAGCUCUUUUACACGGGAUGAUAAUGACAGCACCGGGAGAAUAGGCUGCGGCUAACCCGGUG